rnacentral:rRNA from 1 species
GACGAACGCUGGCGGCGUGCUUAACACAUGCAAGUCGAACGGAAAGGCCCUGCUUUUGUGGGGUGCUCGAGUGGCGAACGGGUGAGUAACACGUGAGUAACCUGCCCUUGACUUUGGGAUAACUUCAGGAAACUGGGGCUAAUACCGGAUAGGAGCUCCUGCUGCAUGGUGGGGGUUGGAAAGUUUCGGCGGUUGGGGAUGGACUCGCGGCUUAUCAGCUUGUUGGUGGGGUAGUGGCUUACCAAGGCUUUGACGGGUAGCCGGCCUGAGAGGGUGACCGGCCACAAUGGGACUGAGAUACGGCCCAGACUGCUACGGGAGGCAGCAGUGGGGAAUAUUGCACAAUGGGCGGAAGCCUGAUGCAGCAACGCCGCGUGCGGGAUGACGGCCUUCUGGUUGUAAACCGCUUUCGCCUGUGACGAAGCGUGAGUGACGGUAAUGGGUAAAGAAGCACCGGCUAACUACGUG